rnacentral:rRNA from 1 species
UACGAAGGGGGCUAGCGUUGCUCGGAAUCACUGGGCGUAAAGGGUGCGUAGGCGGGUCUUUAAGUCAGGGGUGAAAUCCUGGAGCUCAACUCCAGAACUGCCUUUGAUACUGAGGAUCUUGAGUUCGGGGAGAGGUGAGUGGAACUGCGAGUGUAGAGGUGAAAUUCGUAGAUAUUCGCAAGAACACCAGUGGCGAAGGCGGCUCACUGGCCCGAUACUGACGCUGAGGCGCGAAAACGUGGGGACAAACAGG